AUGCAAAUUGAGGUACCGACGCGACGCAAGGCGAAGAAACCGCAGCUGCUGCCUCCAGGGCCAUGGACACUGCCGAUAAUCGGCAGCCUCCACCACUUCGUGAGCGUGCUCCCGCACCGGAGGAUUACAGAGCUGUGUCGCCUGCACGGGCCAGUGAUGUUACUGAGGCUAGGCGAGGUACCAACCGUGGUCGUUUCGAGCGCCGAGGCAGCGGCAGUGGUGAUGAAGACCAACGACCUGGCGUUCGCGAACCGGCCACGCAGCGUGACGCAGGACAUCUACAGCUGCGGUGGGCAGGGCAUCGCCCUAGCCCCUUACGGCGAGCAGUGGCGCCAGAUGCGCAAGGUGUGCGUGGUGGAGCUCCUCAGUGCCAAGCAGGUGAAGCGGCUGGAGGGAAUCAGGGCCGAGGAGGUGAGCAACCUCCUCCAGUCCAUCUCCAUCACAGCCUCCACUCGAGCUGGCGGCGUCGUCAACCUGAGCGAGAAGGUGUCGGCGCUCAGCAACGACAUCGUGUCACGCGGGUUAUUCACUGAGAGGUGCGCUCGGCAGGACGAGUACCUCGGUGAGAUCGACAAGAUGGCCUCCCUGAUGAGUGGCUUCAGCCUCGUCGACCUUUUCCCUUCAUCGCGGUUGGUGCGGUGGUUGAGCAACGGGGAGCGCAACAUGAAAAUGUGUUGUGCCAGAAUGCAAGGCAUCAUUUCCGACAUCAUCGACGGGAGGAAGGCGGCGCAGCACGGCGCCGACUCCGAGGACCUGCUUGACGUGCUGCUCAGGCUGCAGGCAGAGGACUCGCUGCCGUUCCCGCUAACCACAGAGUCUAUCGGCGUCCUCAUCUUUGACAUAUUUACAGCUGCCACUGAGACAUCAGCGACCGUUUUGGAGUGGGCUAUGUCAGAGAUUUUCAAUCACCCCAAAGUAAUGGCUAAAGUUCAGUCAGAGGUUCGACAAGUGUUAGGUCCAGGCAAAGCUGUCAUCGCGAAUAACGACCUCCGUGAGCUGCACUAUAUGCGAAUGGUCAUCAAGGAAGUCCUUCGGAUGCAUCCCCCUAUCCCCCUACUCGUUCCUAGAGAGACCAGAGAGGAUUGUAAAAUCAUGGGCUAUGACAUACCUCAAGGUACUACUAUCUAUGUCAAUGCCUUUGCGAUUUCUCGAGAUCCUAAAUAUUGGGAUAGCCCUGAAGAGUUUAAUCCGGAAAGGUUUGAGAACAAUAACAUGGAUUAUUAUGGGACACACUUCGAAUUCACCCCAUUUGGAGCAGGUCGACGACAAUGUCCUGGGAUAUUAUUUGGCACGUCGACUGUGGAGAUUGGAUUGACAAAUCUUCUCUACCACUUCGACUGGGCGCAUCCUAACGGGGCAGGCGAGUCAGUAGACAUGUCCGAGAAAUUCGGUAUCGCCACAGGCAGAAGGCGUAACCUGCAGCUGAUAGCUAUUCCCUAUGUACCAUCCAGCAGUACUUAG
rnacentral:rRNA from 1 species